ensembl:lncRNA
GGCUCUGCGAGUGUGUGUAUACCAGGUCAGUUAUCUGAUAGUUAGGCCUACCCUUUUUUUUCGGGAAAGUCUGUUGAAGUCCGUCUCUCCGGUCAUAAUGUGCGCUUUGGCAAUAUUGAAGAUAUAACGGAAUGUAACACGCCGCGAGAUGUAUCUUUGUACAGGCUACACCUGUAGCGCACAUAUUGCGUAUGGUUGUGAGAGUCACAGGCAAAACAAGACGUGAGCUUUUGUAUUGGGAUUGUUUCUUCAGAUUUUGGACCCAGCACAGCUCUGCGAAACUUCAACUUUUUCACUGAGUUUGUGUAAUAUUGUCACGACUCUGGCUUUGUGUUUCCUGUUUUAUUUUGUAAAGUUCACUCCCCUUGUGUCAUUUCUUGUUUUACUUCCUGUCUGUGUUUUUCCCUCCCCCUGUGAUUGUUGAUUUGAUCCUCCUGUGUCCAUCCACCCUGGCCUUGUGUCUUUGCCUUUCUUCCCCAGCUGUGUCUCGUUCCCUCGUUUAGUGUCUGUGUGUAUAUAUCCCUGUCUGUCCCAGUGUUCUGGUUCUGUUCGUCAUUCUUGUUACACUUAUGUUGCCUUGUGUUACUCGUGCGUCCUUGUGCUUCCCGGUUUGUGUUUUUUCACUUAACUUGUUACCUUGUUUUUGUAUUUGAUUAGCUUUUAGAAAUAAAGCUCUCUUUUUGUUUAACCUCAUCGGGUGUUCUGCAUCCACCUCUUCACCUAGUCGUAACAAAUAUGGCAUCAAACGUGCGGGUGUGUGGCCCAGUGGUCAGACGGCAGGCAGCCAGAGGUUUGGCUCGUUUGGAAGGACCAGCUCAGGCCUGAUUACUGGGCCGUCCUCGCAGGAGGAGUUCUCAAGUCCGAAAGAUUAGGAGCUCUUCCAGAAACCACAGUGAGAGGAGAGAACAUCAACAAAAAGGGCUUCGGUAAAACAUUUUUCAAUUUAGAUUGUAGUUGCAACUGAAAUAUUUAAUUGGCAAAGAAAGAAAGUGAUGCUCCAGUUCAGUUAUUCUGGAGAUCCAAUGAGAGCAGCACUUGGACCAUUGAGAAGAGACUGCUUUUCUCCUAAGCCCUGGCCUGAAGGAAGAGGAAAAAAACUUGUGACUGAACGGCAACAGAUUCAAGUUUCUAAGCAGCUGAGAAGAUGUGCUUGGAGCACUGAAUGCAGUGUCACUCUCUUUCCUCAACAACACUGCAGAUGACGUGUUGAGUUAGUCACAACCAGCAUCACUGUUUGAUUUUCAAAGGUUGUCUUAAAAAUAUAAAUAUGUUUUUAAAUUAUGCUUAAAAAUGGGAAGCACAUUCCCACAUUUUGUUUAUAUGGGAAUACAAUGUUGAGAGCAUGAAGGUGAUUGGCUGGACGGAGAAUAGAAGACAAGACCAGAGAGCAAUACGCACUAUACGGUUUUCACAAUAAAUUCAGACAUUUGUUAUUUUAAAAACAAACAUUAAAUCUCACAAAAACAAGUGGACAUUUUUUCUUAUUUCCUCUUUUACCGCUGCAAUAUUUAACCUUUUUCAAAUACAACCAUCUUGUAUAACACACAGCCUGGGCAAGUUUUGAGCAAAUGCUUAAAAAGUGCCGUUGUUUUAUAGAUUGUUGUUUACUAUAUAGAGAUGUCAAAUGUUUUUCAGUGAUGAUAGUAUCUGCCAUUUAUCCACUCCCGAAAAUGUAAGAUAUUGGGUGAAAUGCUUAUUUUGGCAAGGAAACUUCAAUGAAAGAAACACAGAGAGGGUUUUCCUCUCUAUUGUUUCACUUGUGAAUCACACGGUAUUGCAAUUAACUAUUGCAAUUGGUGUCUGAUAUGUACUUCCAAUAAAUGUAACAUUAACAAUCCCACUCAAUGGUAAAGUCAUGGUGUUCUUCAGCACAAGGCUUAUUCUCAAUUCCCUUAACCUUGAAUGGGGAACUUCCCCCCCUCUGGAGUCAGAUAAUGUUUGGUAAGAUUCCAUAUUUGAUUAUCACCAACAUUUAUUACCACCAUCUCCACAGCUUCAGUAUCUGCUGUGCAAUUCUUGUAUUCAGUGGUAGUGAAUAAGCCUUAUAGUAACACAUUCCACCCAUAAUAAUACAUGGAUGAAAAUGAAAAGAAAUCUAUUGUUUUUUAAAAUGUAAAUCACACUGGAACUUGUAAUUUUAACUAAAUUACCAACAUCAUACAUUAAUUUUAUAAUUACUAAAUCAACCGUUCACUUUGUCCUUUUAGCAACAGGCUACUUUUAGAAUGCCAUGUGUAAAAUAAAGCAUGCCGUUCAAGCUUUCAUCUGUGCACAGGGAGGACACAACACAAUGAAAGUAAUAAACACAUGCCACAUUACACAAAGAAUGGAUCUUUGUAAAAUAGUGAUUGUGUUUUGAAACUAUACCCUUCAAAUAAUCACAUUUCAAUUGCGCCAUAAGGAGGAAAAACAAUCUCUGGUGCCAUCAUGUGUCCUUGAUUCAGAUGACAGCUGAGGCUGGUUAAAAACAACUGGAGACUAACUGAGGUGGAUUAAACCACCAAUCAACACUCAUUUUUUGUAAUAAAUCACAUAUUGACACUCAGUACUGUGUGUGUUUGACUUGGUGUGGUAGCAGAGUGAAACCAGGCCUUCCUCAGCAGCAACUCCCUGCUCAUUUUUGAUCCUGGACUACUGCAAUUAUGGAUAAACAGGACAUUUUUUCAUAUAAACCAGUUUUGUUUGAGUUGAAUGUGUAUGUUUUCCAAUGCAGAGAACAUCCUGUCUGGCAUCAAGGAUUGCAUAUAUUAACUGUGAAUUGGUAUUGGAACAUUAGAAAUAAUAUGAGACUAUGUUUCUGUUACAGUUGAUGCUGUGGGGUAUGCAGAUCAAUCUGGCAUUUACUAAAUCUUCCCAGCAGCACAGAUCCUAAACCUAAAAAAUGCUGCCUUGAAUUUAGAACUAUUACAAUUUGAUUUGUCUUCAAAGACAAAUGAAAGUGGUAAACUAAUCAGUUCUAUAAUACACACACGAAAGACACAACUCUGCUGGUUCCAGAGUUCUGUCAACAUAUUUUAUAGUCCAUAAUGUUACAUUUUAAUUUUAAAUGAUUAGUUUCAAUCUGCUCUGGUUCCUCUUAAAUGUCACAUCGAAUGGCAAGCCCGUUGAGCUUUUUAAUCAGUAGUGGUUACAGCAAUUGUAGAUAUAAAC